ACACUUACCUGGCAGGGGAGAUAACAUGAUCACGAAGGUAGUUUUCCCAGGGCGAGGCUUGCACUCCGGAUGUGCUGACCUCUUCGAUUUCCCCAAAUGUGGGAAAUUUGACUGCAUAAUUUGUGGUAGUGGGGGACUGCAUUCGAGCUCUCCCCUG